rnacentral:hammerhead_ribozyme from 1 species
AGUCGAAAUGCGCGCUCUUUGGGCGCUGCAUCACCAUACAGUGGUGUGUAUGGUCUGAUGAUGGCAGCCAAAA